rnacentral:rRNA from 1 species
CUCUUUCUCGAUUCAGUGGAUGGUGGUGCAUGGCCGUUCUUAGUUGGUGGAGUGAUCUGUCUGGUUAAUUCCGAUAACGAACGAGACUCUCCCCUGCUAACUAGUCGGCUGGAUCUUGUUAAGCGGGUUGCGUGCCGAGUAGCUCUUGCUGCGCUUCGCUCACGCGUUGCGUACGCUUGGACGCCUUGGAUCACACUGCACCCCAAGUCCGCCGCUUAUGCUAUAACUCUUCUUAGAGGGAUUCACGGCACUGAAGCCGUAAGAGACUGAGAGCAAUAACAGGUCUGUGAUGCCCUUAGAUGCUCUGGGCCGCACGCGCGCUACAAUGCCGGGCACAGCAGGUGUUUCUCCUGCUCCGACAGGAGCGGGUAACCCUCUGAAAGCCAGUGUUCUUGCAAGUGCGUUCUCCUUCGCGGGAAGCGCACAGAGGCGUGCUUGGGCCUGGGACUUGCAAUUCUUUCCCACCAACGAGGAAUGCCUAGUAGCGGCGGGUCACUGAGCCCGCUGUGACUCAGUCCCUGCCCUUUGUACACACCGCCCGUCGCUACUACCGAUUGGGUGUACCAGUGAGAGCCUUGGACUGGCGUCCGUUGUUGCUCGCAAGAGUGACAAGCGGGUCCGACGGAAAGAGGUCCGAACUGGUGCACUUAGAGGAAGUAAAAGUCGUAACAAGGUUUCCGUAGGUGAACCUGCGGAA